rnacentral:rRNA from 1 species
CCCUUAGAUGUUCUGGGCUGCACGCGCGCUACACUGAUGCACUCAACGAGUUUUCGACCUUGCCCGAUAGGGCUGGGUAAUCUUUUUAAAAUGCAUCGUGAUGGGGAUAGAUUAUUGCAAUUAUUAAUCUUCAACGAGGAAUUCCUAGUAAGCGCGAGUCAUCAGCUCGUGCUGAUUACGUCCCUGCCCUUUGUACACACCGCCCGUCGCUCCUGCCGAUUGAAUGGUUCAGUGAGGUUGUCGGAUUCGUGUUUAUUACAUGGCAACAUGACGUAGACAUGAAGAAGAUGACCGAACUUGAUCAUUUAGAGGAAGUAAAAGUCGUAACA